GCGGACGGGUGAGUAACGCGUAGGCGACCUGCCUUUGUGAUUGGGAUAACGUCGAGAAAUUGGUGCUAAUACCGAAUGAAGCGAUCUAGGCGCAUGUUCGGAUUGUUAAAGUUACUGUAAGGUAAUGCACAGAGAUGGGCCUGCGUUCCAUUAGCUAGUUGGUAGGGUAACGGCCUACCAAGGCGACGAUGGAUAGCUGAUCUGAGAGGGUGAUCAGCCACACUGGGACUGAGAUACGGCCCAGACUCCUACGGGAGGCAGCAGUGAGGAAUAUUGCGCAAUGGAGGCAACUCUGACGCAGCAACGCCGCGUGGGGGAUGACGCACUAUGGUGUGUAAACCCCUGUAGACAGGGAAGAAGGUUAUGGGCAAGUAAAGGCCGAUAAGUGACGGUACCUGUAAAGUAAGCUCCGGCUAACUCCGUGCCAGCAGCCGCGGUAAUACGGGGGGAGCGAGCGUUGUCCGGAAUUACUGGGCGUAAAGGGCGUGUAGGCGGGCAGGUAAGUCAGAUGUGAAAGGCUACGGCUUAACCGUAGACGUGCAUUUGAUACUGUUUGUCUUGAGUGCGAGAGAGGGUAGUGGAAUUCCCAGUGUAGCGGUGAAAUGCGUAGAUAUUGGGAAGACACCAGUAGCGAAGGCGGCUACCUGGCUCGUACUGACGCUAAUGCGCGAAGCGUGGGAUCAAACAGGAUUAGAUACCCUGGUAGUCCACGCAGUAAACGAUGGCACUAGGUGUUGUUGGCUUCGCUGAUCAGUGCGCAGCAAACGCACUAAGUGCCCGCUGGGAGUACGAUCGCAAGU
rnacentral:rRNA from 1 species